rnacentral:rRNA from 1 species
GAUGAACGCUGGCGGCGUGCUUAACACAUGCAAGUCGAGCGAGAAGUUUUGAAAAGAUUCUUCGGAUGAAAUUUAAAAUGGAAAGCGGCGGACGGGUGAGUAACGCGUAGGCAACCUGCCCCAUACAAAGGGAUAGCAUUUGGAAACGAAUAUUAAUACCUUAUGAAACUUAACUAGUGCAUGCUAGGUAGGUCAAAGAUUUAUCGGUAUGGGAUGGGCCUGCGUCUGAUUAGCUAGUUGGUGAGGUAACGGCUCACCAAGGCGACGAUCAGUAGCCGACCUGAGGGGGUGAACGGCCACAUUGGAACUGAGACACGGUCCAAACUCCUACGGGAGGCAGCAGUGGGGAAUAUUGCACAAUGGGGGAAACCCUGAUGCAGCAACGCCGCGUGAACGAUGAAGGCCUUUGGGUCGUAAAGUUCUGUUCUAGGUGAUGAAAACUGACAGUAACCGAGGAGAAAGCCCCGGCUAACUCCGUG